CGAACUUCUAUUGCAAGCGGACUUCAGUCGAGCUUCUGCAAUAAACGGUCUCCACCCGGGCUUCCACGGCAACCGGUCUCCAUCCGAGCUUCUACAGUAAGCGGCCUCCUUCCGGACUUUUGUAAGAACCGGACUCCGUCCGAACUUCUACAGCGGAUUGAUUUCAGACGAACUUCUACAACGGACAGGAUCCAGCAGUCGGAUUUCUACAGUGACCGACUGUCUCCGGUGUCUUUCGUAUCUCUCCAGCCAUCAACCUUCAACAGCACCAAACGGACUUCAACAGUGUCGACCAGACCCCUCCAACGGAUAAAUUCCCUCCGAACUUCAGCGGACGAACUUCCACAACGCCUUUCGAAUUUCGCUAUCGAUCGACCUUCUGUCGGAUCCCCCAUGCAACCGGAC
rnacentral:lncRNA from 1 species